UACAGAGGGGGCAAGCGUUGUUCGGAAUUACUGGGCGUAAAGGGCGCGUAGGCGGCCUGUUAAGUCGGACGUGAAAUCCCUCGGCUCAACCGGGGAACUGCGUCCGAUACUGGCGGGCUUGAAUUCGGGAGAGGGAUGUGGAAUUCCAGGUGUAGCGGUGAAAUGCGUAGAUAUCUGGAGGAACACCGGUGGCGAAGGCGGUUCUCUGGGCCUGUACUGACGCUGAGGAGCGAAAGCGUGGGGAGCGAACAGG
rnacentral:rRNA from 1 species